AUACGUAGGGGGCGAGCGUUGUCCGGAAUGAUUGGGCGUAAAGGGCGCGUAGGCGGCCCGGUAAGUCUGGAGUGAAAGUCCUGUUUUUAAGAUGGGAAUUGCUUUGGAUACUGUCGGGCUUGAGUGCAGGAGAGGUAAGUGGAAUUCCCAGUGUGGCGGUGAAAUGCGUAGAGAUUGGGAGGAACACCAGUGGCGAAGGCGACUUACUGGACUGUAACUGACGCUGAGGCGCGAAAGUGUGGGGAGCAAACAGGAUUAGAUACCCUGGUAGUCCACACUGUAAACGAUGAAUGCUAGGUGUAGGGGGUAUCGACCCCUUCUGUGCCGCAGUCAACACAAUAAGCAUUCCGCCUGGGGAGUACGGCCGCAAGGUGGAAACUCAAAGGAAUUGACGGGG
rnacentral:rRNA from 1 species